rnacentral:rRNA from 1 species
AACGUAGGGGGCGAGCGUUAUCCGGAAUCACUGGGUGUAAAGGGUACGAAGGCGGAUUUGUAAGUUGGAUGUAAAAACUCACGGCUCAACCUUGGGGUUGCAUCCAAGACUGCAAGUCUAGAGAGCAGGAGAGGGGAGUGGAAUUCUAGGUGUAGGGGUAAAAUCCGUAGAUAUCGGGAGGAACACCAAUGGCGAAGGCAGCUCCCUGGUCUGUCCCUGACGCUCAGGUACGAAAGCGUGGGGAGCAAACAGG